UUAAAAAAAAAAAAAUCCCCCGCGUGUGACCUGCGGCCUCCGGCGUGCUAGCGUGACCUGCGGCCUCCCGCGCGUGACUCCGCGUCCUAGCACCGCCCACCCGCCCUCCGGCCUGCGUGCGCCGCCGCCUCACCGACGACGCCCGCGCCCGUCCGACUGGGAACCCUCCCUGCCGCGCCGCCCGAGCUCCGGCCUUUGUGCACCGCCACCACCACGGCUGCCGGACGCCUCCCCGACGCGGCUCAGCGACCCCUCCCCGCCACGGCCGCGGCUGCCGGACGCCUCCCCAACGCGGCUCAGCGAGCCUCCCGGUCACGGCCGCUCCGGCCCGCGCGCACCCGAAGCGCCGGGUCUGCCGCGCGCGUUCAACACGCCGCCGCCGACUCGGGUCUGCCGCGCGCGUCCGCCAGUGACGCAUUCCUCCCCUCCUAGCACGCCAGCCGCCGUCCUGCCCCUCUCCGCCCGGCGACGCCGACUUUGACGCUGCCUGGUGCAGGAGUUCUUCACCACCUCGCACACCAAGUGCUCGACAGAUUGCCUCCGCCAGAUUAACUUCUGGCAGCAGCAGGGCUCAUGAAGUCAAUCCCCUUAUUCCUCGGCACCACAUGCCUCUCUUGGUCUAGGGUUCCCUUCUGAGUGUUGAAUUCAUUACGGUCAGGAAUAAAUUUCUACAAGAUUAGGAAAGGAAAUUAUACACUGAUUUAUUGCAGAUUUGCCAUUUUAACAUGGAAACUAGACUUAGUUUUACCAUGGUUCAUGGAGUAUAGUAAAAUGACUGGAUGCUACGAAAAGAAAUUGUUAUCAUACUUUGACUUUGCAUUACGGUCCUAUGUUGACAAAAUAUUGCAGUAGAAAAUUAAGAAUACUCUAACUUGUUAAGCCUUAGCUUGUGUGAGUACUGUAAGUGUAGGGUGCAGUCUCCUGCAUAGGUGCACAGAAGCAGUUUUUCAGUUUUUUCUUUUCUUGCUGCUGCUUGUUGAGGAAUCAUUUAAUAUGAUGCAAAAGAAAAAAAAGGAAUUUGUGCAGUAAAUUUGCAGGAUUUCAUUGCUUGAUGUUUUUUGGAGCAAAUCAUUUCUACAUCAGCAUCUUAAAUUUCAGAGGCUGUUCCUUACUUUGAACAGUAGGCAUAGACCUGCCCAAUGGCAAAGACGGUGGCGGCGACGGUGCUGGACAUCACGGAGAUCUCCUUCUCCGACCUAGUCCUCCUCCAAUCUCCUGAAAUGCCAGCUGAUGACCACCGCCGUCGCCGCGUCUUGGAUACCAUCGCGACUGAGCUCGGCCGAGGUGGAUCCGGGUUGCUGGCCAUCGCCGAAGUGCCACGCAUGGGAGCCCUCCGGCGACGGCUCCUCCCCUUGUCCCGCCGCCUUGCCCUCAUGGACCAUCCUACGCGCUCCCAAAUCCUUAAGAAGCAUGGUUUGGGCAGCGACGUGCCUUUGAAGAAGCUUGAUAGGUCUGUGUCCUCGUUUGCGAAGCUUCUAAGGCAUUCAGGUAAACUCGCCAUGCUAGAGCUAGUGAACAACACUGAAAGCAUCAGCAAUGGAAUUGUUUGUUUGGAGAAGAUACAUGAUUUUGAUGGAUCUGAGGAAUCUAACUGUGAUGAUGAUAUGGAGAAUAUUGGUGAGCUCGUUACAGAACUGGGCUUGUACAUGAUGGAGCUUGGGAUUUUGAUUGCACGAGCUUGUGACAUUGUUAUCGGUGGAGGUCAGUUAGAAAAGAGCAUCACUGACUUUGGUACUGCAAAGGCAAGGCUCAUUCACUACCACUCUGAGUUGGAUAACAUUAUUAUCAGGGAAAAGGAGAACAGUUCAAGAAAACGCUCGUUAAAGAAAGUGGCAGUAAAACCUUAUCAACUGGGUUCUCAAAGGAGGUCCGGAUCACUGUGCCCCUGCUGCAUCAAGUCAGAAGAUAUGACUCCUGUAAUGGCAAUAAAAAAUAAUAAUUCUAGAGAUACCUCGGUUCAGGGUAAGGCUGCUGAAAUCUCCCUGUUGAAUCUAUGGCAGGAUUGGCACUUUGACUUUGGAAUCCUUACUGUUUUAACAGCACCAUUAUUCUUGAGGGCUUCUGAGGGAGAAAAAUGUUUGAUCAGCCAGGAAUACCAUCAUCCUAAUGGGCACACACACUUGCAGUUAUGCAAUGGGAGGAAGAUGUUCUCUGUUAAAUGCUCUCCUGAGAGCUUCAUUGUUCAGGUUGGAGAGGCAGCAGACAUCUUGUCCAGUGGGAAACUGAAAUCUACACUUCAUUCUGUGAGCAGACCUUUAAGUUUUACAGACAUCAGCCGUGAGACCUUUGUAGUCUUCCUUCAGCCCUCAUGGGACAAAACUUUAAAUUAUCCCGGUUACUGUUUGGACACUGAAGAGCAAUCUAGACAUAACAAUGAGACUUCAAUCAUCAGUAAUGGAUCAGCGGGCUCUUAUGAUGAAGAUGUAUGUAUGCAAGACAUUAUGGAAAAAAUUCCCCCCCUAUCAUCAAGGCUAAGAGAAGGGAUGACAUUUGCCGAAUUUUCUCGGCAAACAACGAAACAGUAUUAUGGUGGCGGUGGCAUCCAACAAAACAAUUGAACACUAACAAUACAAUGGUGAGAUCCAUGUAGCAGACAAUGAAUUGAUGUACUGAGUUGCAUGCUGAUACUGUUGGAAAUACACUAACUGGAAGCAUCCUGCAGGUGAAUAAGGAGAUAGGAGAUUACGAAGACAAGGAAGGGGCAGGUGCCAAGAGCACAUCUGCUAUUUCAAAAUUACUCAUGAGAUCAGCGACAACCCCAGUGUCAACAUGGCAGCAUGCUCUAAUCAUUGAACUUAGUCAUGGGAGUUUUUUUGGAAUUGUCUGAGCUUGCUAUGUGUGAGGGGAUAAAUUUAGAGAAAAUUCCUUCUAUGGCCUAGAAAUAAUGGCAGUUCCCUCCGUGGACAUGGAAAUUUCAAACUCCCCUAUUUGGCCCUCUUCCUUAUUUGGCCCUUCCGUCAACUCUAUCAGUUAUCUCGCUGAGAACAGGUCGUUCCAUCAACUAUGUCAGUUAUCUCGCUGAGAACAGUGACAUGUGAUUUUUCAUCACUC